CUGACUGGCUACAUGAUGAAUAAAAUCAAAUCACCAUCUUUCGGCUGA
rnacentral:snoRNA from 2 species